CAAUCACAGUAAAGCAUUUAAUAUCCAAUGCUACCAGUUCAAUCAUAAAAGCCUUAAGCCUUUCAGUCUUAAUUGGUAAUGCUGGACACAUUAUUCAUAAGUGGUCUGCUCUUCCUAUUGUCUUAUGGUCGUGCUUCUGGGGUAGCUUUGCUCACAACAUGGCCAGGUCCUUCAAAGAUGACUCAAAGAUCAAGCUGAGGAUGAAAAUUUCCCUCCUGUUCUUUUUCCAUAAGAUUUAAAAAAUUCCAAAAUUGGGCUUGCUCUUGCUUCUUUUUCAAGGCAGGAUAGUCUCCAGCAGUUCCACCCGGGAGCAAUCACAUCCCAGCCACCAAAACUCCCCAUUUAGGUAUCUGAAAGCAGAUGCACUGGGCACUGAGCCAUUUCCAAGUCUGGCCCACCACCAACUGCAGGGCUAUUCAUGGCAAUAUGAUUCAUAACAAUAAACGUUUUUGAAGUGCUUCUCAUUAAAUUAUCCACACAAGCUGAUGGUAAUUCCUCUGUGAUGUGGAACAAGACUUUGCAAUGCUGAGAGGCUGCUAAGUGCAGUGCAGAGGAACAUGCAGGCUUCACACAGAUUUUUAUGGCAAACUGCAUGUCUUUUUUCCUGCAGCAAGACUCUGAGAAUCAUGAGUCUGGGGCCGAGGUGCAAGAUUAUUUCUCUGAACUUGUACCUAAAAUUCUGCCCCUUCUAUGCAUGCUUUUCUGUGAGAAAACAAAACCAAAAAAAAAAAAAAAAAAAAAGCUCCAGCAAACCUUAGGCCCCUAAAUACCUCUGGUUUUGGCAUUUUCAAUAAGAAUAAACAAGGAAGGCACAUUUGCCACAGGCUCAUGGAAAUGAAGUGUGGAAUUCCUGUCCUCUUCAUCAUGCCUUAGUCCUCUGCACUCAAUAAAGCCCUAUUUCAAGAUCUUGCUAUAGACAUAAAUGUUCAGUCUCAUAGCAUCUUUAGAGGGCUGUGUAAUGAUAUAUGCUCACAUGAAAACCUCUAAAUUCCUUGACUGCAAGGAGUUUUAUAGCUUGCAAGUAUGGUACUAUUAUAUACUGUCUGUCAUACGAGGAUACCAGAGUUUGAAUUGUUGCUACCAGCCUUGUCUAGCAUAACAUAUUGACCCUUAAUCUGGUUUCCCCAUGAGGAGCCCUACUAUCAUGUCCACAUGUAAUCAGACCUGUGCAGCUGCCUACAUGUUCUUUUUAAUUUGAUUGAAGUUAAUCACAGUAGGAUUAAUUUGAAGAGAUCAAGGAAACAGAGUGAUAUUUUGUGGAAAGCAGAUGGUUUCUUCUGGAUGGAAUAAAGCUCUGAAAGCCAUAGGAGGUGUUUAACUUCUCAGGUUUACCAAGAUUAAAAGCUCAGGGAUUCUGUAACUUAAAUAUAAUAUAUUUAAUCACAUUUAUGCCAUGUCAGUGAAAGAAACCUUUGGAAACUAACUGUGUGGUUUUCAAAAGGAAGGGGGCUUAUUGACAGAUACUGGCAUCUGAUGAUCGUCCAGCACACCUCUGAAGGGAGAAAUGAAAACAUGCAUCCAACACUGGCAUAAUUAUUCCAAACAAAGUAAAGUUAAGCACUACUGUUUUCAUGAGAACCUAAGGAAUCCUGCCUCUCCAAAUGGCAUAAUGUGUCAGGGUAAAAGAUUAAGCAUAAUAAAUGGACUGGUAGGUCAGCACUGAUGUGUGAUUUUGGCUGUUUUCUUUUUGCCCUCCAAACUGAGUUUUUUUUAAAGGAAGCCCAUAUAAAAGCACAGAGUAAAUACACAUCAGGUAACUAGAACCUAGCCAACCACCUAACACCCUGGGCACUUUUAAAAAUCUGGACUUAAAAAAGUUUAAAUACACUUGAAGAAGUAUUUCAUUAACAAGCUGCAAUUCUUUUUCCAUCUCUUACACAUGCAUAUAAAAUACAUUGGCACAUUCCCAUGCUCACACACAGACAUCCUGAUUUCUCUACAAACUCAGACCUUGCUGAAGCACCAUAAUUUGCAUAAAUUGUUUCUGACAUACAUGUUAAGCAGGAAAGAAGCAUCCUCACUACAAUGAGGAUGUAAACUAGAUGAAACUGAGAUAGGAAUAGCCAGAGCAGGUCUGCAGAACAAGGGAAAUUCUUGGGAAAACACAUGCAGGUGUAUCCCUCAAACAUCCGAAAGAAGAGUUUAUCAAAUUUUCAUUUCUAAGAGCACUGAACAGCAAUGAUUACUCAGCUAGAUUUGCCCUUUUGAAACAGAAUCUUGACUUAUUUGAGAAGUCUGCACACUUUAAUUACAUCCAAUUAUCUUGUAUAGGGCUGUUAAAUAGCAUACAUCACUAGUAUUAGCAGGGUCAGAAUACCAUUAGGGUGAAAUGCAUUCCUUCAUUCAAAACUUCUAAUCAGAGCUUCCAUAGGAUACAAGAAACUCUCCUGUGGAUGUGUCCUCUCAUCUUUCAUUUACAUUAAGUACUACAGUCUCCAUUACCAUUGUUGAUAAGAGCCUCACAAAUGGCCACAAUUUUGCUUUCACAAAAAGGCAUGAGGUCAGUAGUCAGUAUACCCUAUUUAGAGCCAAAAAAUAAGAGAGCUGAAAUGCCAGAGCAGAUCCUCACCCCUUUCUGUGCCUGCAAAAAUAGAAGAAGGUGGAAGAACAGCAGACUCUGGAAAAGGGAAAAUGGAAAGUCACCUAUAGAAAAGGUGGCACAGUAUCAAGACCACCAGGUUACUUCUGUACACACAAAGGUCAGCAGUGCACACCCUACUUGCAGCUACAGACAACUUUACGCAGAGAAGGCUACAAGAAGCAUGAAAUCAUUAAGAUGUAUUUUAAUCUGCUUUAAACAUAAUGUAACUAUUUCUUUGCUAUAAGCAUGUCUCAUUUAAACCCCGGGGUCUAGUUCUUCUCCCAUUAUAUGCAUUUAUUAAACAUUCCAUAAUCUGCAAGUGCUGAGAGGCAAUUUAGGGCAGGACCUCAUAGUGAUUAUCACUUAGUGCAAAGGAGCUUAUUACUUUACACCCACACUACGAAACAGUCACUAGAGAUAUGGCAGAAUUUAUAUCUGCUGAAAUUAAAGCUUAGUUAUGGAUAUUAAUAGAUACAGCAUCAUAUUUUCCAGUUAGACUUACCUAACUACAAACUUGUUCUAUUGUAAAGUUUUGCUUUUCAUCAUGUAAUUAAAGGUGAUAUAUAUGAUCCUGAAGGUAGUAACAACAUUGUAUAUAUUUACCUUUUUGACAUACUAAGAGAUAUUCUGCUAAUAGCUAAGUAUAUUUACCCUGCAAUUGUUAUAAGUCCUGCAGGAAAACCUUUGGUUGUAUUACAAUUUAAUUAAAUAUAUGAAAAAGAAUAAUUAGGCGGUUACUUUGUAACUAAAACAUAAUUACCAAGUGAAUAUACAGAUUAUAGUGGGUUUGUCCCACAAACCACGGCCCUUCUACUCACAGUGCACAGAGCAAUUAAUUUGGAGGGUACUGGGAUCAGCAGCUAAAAAACAUGGUACUUCUACUUGACCCUAGAUACAAUCAACUACUUCAGCUGCGAGCAAAAAGCCUGUCAUGCCCAGCUUCUCUGCUCACUGGACUGCAAGCUCUCUGGGACAGAGUGUAGUAGAGUACAAACCUCUACUUUACAUAGCCCAAAAGCUGAGGACUCUGUAAACUGGCAGUUACGAUUUCCUUCAGUGGUACCUUUCCAUAUUUAUGAUUUCUUCUAAAAUUAUGGCCCACAAACUGUAUAAUUCCUUGUAAGUUGAAACAAACUGGAGCUGCUCCUAAUGACAGUAGAGAGGCUUUCUCAGCAGAUCUGCUUGUAGUCAGGCUGCAAAAGCUCUCAGAGGAGGAUGAAAGAGUUAAUUAGAAAAGAAGGAUCAGAGUGAAAAAAAGUAUAAAUGAGUGAUUAAGGAAAAAAACGAGAGAUCAAUUUUAUAAAGGGAAUUAUAUUUAAAUGCCAACUUCCUCCAGCUGCCUGCAUAAUUCAUGUAAUACCUCUAGCCCAUACAUGUCAGUUGAUAUCUCUACCUGUUUAAGGACAUUAAUCACACUCCAGAAAAGUCAGCCAUUGUAUUAAAGAAAAGAUUACAUAGAAAAUGAAAAUAACAGAUACUGAGCAGGAAGAACAUUGACUUUGAUGCCAAGAUACCGCAGACAUAGGUAGAUGGAGAAUCUGACCUUCAUUCUGUACCAGAAACAAGUGGUGUAAUUUUAGAGGAUGUUGUUUCAUAUAUAGCCUCUGGGCAAAUUGUUUGGUUUAAUUUCAGUUAAAAAAAAAAUUGAAAUUAAUAACUUUUCAAAGUUUAUUUUCCUGAGGGAAAAAAAAAAUCAAAGUCCUUUUAAAAAGGAAGUUUCAUAGCACAAAAACUAGGCAUCCAAUGCUAUUACAAUUUAAAAAAAAUUGAAAGCGUCCUUUUGAUUUCUCAAAAGCUGUAAAAAAACAUUAUGUUGACACAAAAAAAAAUCCCACUGAAUUCAACGAGCCUAAAGUCACGUCUUUUGGGACGGUCCAUAUGUCCCAAGUCCUGCAACACCCACAAAUGAGAAAAAUAAAGAUAAAAAUUAUCUCUGUCAUAUUGCCAGCUUCUUACUAUCCACAACAGUCCCUUUUCAUUUGUCAAAUACAUGAGUUAGGAUGGUUGGUAGUGCCAAACCCUGAGUUGCCUGUACUGGCUGCAGCUUGGGAGUGGACACAUGGCCUGGAUAUCCUGGGAUGCUCCAGCCAGGACUUGUACCCACUGUUCUCAGGGGAUGCAGCUUGUCCUACUGAAAUAGAGAUUUUUGGAGUUCACUUAAGUUAACAAAAUGAAUUAAGCAUUUAUAUUUUAGCUUGUAGAGUUAUGUGUUGAAUUUUAACCUUCUACUUAAGAAACCUCUGCCAUGGUACAAAGGCCAUAGGAAAAUGCAAAUUUCUGAAGCUUCUUACAUAAAGAACAAGGCCUAGGAAUGCAAAGAACCCAGAUAAAGAAGCUCCUCUGUCCCUAAGCCUAUCAAGACUGACAGAUGUACUCAGAUAAGCACCAAAGGACCAAAAGCACACACGCAAAGGAGAGAAGUUCAAAAGUUCAUCCAUGAGGAAGACCACGAUCUUCAGACUCAAGAGACCACCAGAGACCCCCGCAGGACCACCACGACAAACCAUGCGUGCCCAGAAGGGCAUGGACCUAUUUAGCAUGAGGGGCGAGGACAGGUGGGCCAGGGGCUGAAUAUGCAUUAAAAAGUUGUGUAAUGUACUUCAUAUGGAACACCUUUGAGAAUAAAGGUGUGGGUGAGACCGAGGCUCGGUGCACAAAUUUUUGGAGAGAUAUCUCACUUGUGCCAGGCACUGACAAUACAUACCCACCUCAUAACUACCCCAGGGUGUGAUGUCUUACCUAUUUAUUCCGUGUAUCGCUUCACUGCAGCACCCCAAUCUUCUCACCAGCGCUCGUCACCAGCUCAGGUAUGUCUCAGAAGCAGGUGUGUUUCACAGAGCUCUCUAGAUCCUUGCUCAGCUGCUUGUACAAUUUGCCAUCUCCAGUCCCCUGUGCGGUGAGCACCAGAAUCUCUCCACAUGAGCAAAUACAAUAGGACAGAGUAAGAACAUUUAGCAGUCAGUGCAACAAGUUGCUUCCCCGUGAUUGCUCCUUUUGUGUUAAGAGCUUGUCCUUCACACUUCUCCGACAGCUGAGAACUUCGCAGCUAAUCAGUGUGCUAAUGAAACGGUUGUUCUGUUAAUAAAAAAUUUUAGAAACUGGCAAAGAAGAGGCAGCUUUACAAAUGAACCUUCCUCUUCAGCUAGGGCUGCCAUUCAAUACUCAAGAGCCACAAAACAACACUUCAGCAAUGCUUAAACUUUACUACUUCAACAGUUCACUUCUUUCUCAGCAGGAUCAUAAACCAAUUAAAAACAUGACAGGAAUUUACCAAGAACAACCAAGUCAAUCAUAUGGUUAGUAUUGUAAUAAAGUCACAUCGGAGGAGUCCAAACCCUAGCUUGGAACAGAGCCUGCUGUGCCACGGACUGCCCAGCACACAGCAAGGGUCCCCACUUCUGCCAUGGACA
rnacentral:lncRNA from 1 species